rnacentral:rRNA from 1 species
GACGAACGAUGGCGGCGUGCUUAACACAUGCAAGUCGAACGAAGUGGCGAACGGGUGAGUAACGCGUAAUCAACCUGCCCUUCAGAGGGGGACAACAGUUGGAAACGACUGCUAAUACCGCAUACUGAAGGAGGGGAUUGCGUCUGAUUAGCUAGUUGGAGGGAUAACGGCCCAACAAGGCGAUGAUAAGGAGCCGGUCUGAGAGGUGGAACUGCCGCAUGGGAACUGAGACACGGACCAGACUCCUACGGGAGGCAGCAGUGGGGAAUCUCCCGCAAUGACGACAGGCUGACGAAGCAACGCCGCGUGAGUGAUUACGGCCUUCGGGUUGUGAAGCUCUGUUAAUCGGGUCGCGGUACCGGAAUAGAAAGCCACGGCUAACUACGUGCCAGCAGCCGCGGUAAUAC